UACGUAGGGGGCAAGCGUUGUCCGGAUUUAUUGGGCGUAAAGAGCGUGUAGGCGGCCAAGCAGGUCCGCUGUGAAAACUCGAGGCUCAACCUCGAGACGUCGGUGGAAACCGUGUGGCUAGAGUCCGGAAGAGGAGAGUGGAAUUCCUGGUGUAGCGGUGAAAUGCGCAGAUAUCGGGAAGAACACCCGUGGCGAAGGCGGCUCUCUGGGACGGUACUGACGCUGAGACGCGAAAGCGUGGGGAGCGAACAGG
rnacentral:rRNA from 1 species